AUUGAACGCUGGCGGCAGGCCUAACACAUGCAAGUCGAACGGUAGCACAGAGGAGCUUGCUCCUUGGGUGACGAGUGGCGGACGGGUGAGUAAUGUCUGGGAAACUGCCCGAUGGAGGGGGAUAACUACUGGAAACGGUAGCUAAUACCGCAUAACGUCGCAAGACCAAAGAGGGGGACCUUCGGGCCUCUUGCCAUCGGAUGUGCCCAGAUGGGAUUAGCUAGUAGGUGGGGUAACGGCUCACCUAGGCGACGAUCCCUAGCUGGUCUGAGAGGAUGACCAGCCACACUGGAACUGUGACACGGUCCAGACUCCUACGGGAGGCAGCAGUGGGGAAUAUUGCACAAUGGGCGCAAGCCUGAUGCAGCCAUGCCGCGUGUAUGAAGAAGGCCUUCGGGUUGUAAAGUACUUUCAGCGAGGAGGAAGGCGUUGUGGUUAAUAACCGCAGCGAUUGACGUUACUCGCAGAAGAAGCACCGGCUAACUCCGUGCCAGCCGCCGCGG
rnacentral:rRNA from 1 species